rnacentral:rRNA from 1 species
GACGAACGCUGGCGGCGUGCCUAAUACAUGCAAGUCGAACGCAUUUUCUUUCACCGUAGCUUGCUACACCGAAAGAAAAUGAGUGGCGAACGGGUGAGUAACACGUGGGUAACCUGCCCAUCAGCGGGGGAUAACACUUGGAAACAGGUGCUAAUACCGCAUAAUUCCAUUUACCGCAUGGUAGAUGGGUGAAAGGCGCUUUUGCGUCACUGAUGGAUGGACCCGCGGUGCAUUAGCUAGUUGGUGGGGUAACGGCCUACCAAGGCUGCGAUGCAUAGCCGACCUGAGAGGGUGAUCGGCCACACUGGGACUGAGACACGGCCCAGACUCCUACGGGAGGCAGCAGUAGGGAAUCUUCGGCAAUGGACGCAAGUCUGACCGAGCAACGCCGCGUGAGUGAAGAAGGGUGUCGGGUCGUAAAACUCUGUUGUUAGAGAAGAACAAGGAUGAGAGUGGAAAGUUCAUCCCUUGACGGUAUCUAACCAGAAAGCCACGGCUAACUACGUG